rnacentral:rRNA from 1 species
UACAGGGGGUGCAAACGUUGCUCGGAAUCAUUGGGCGUAAAGCGCACGUAGGCGGUCUGUUAUGUCGGAUGUGAAAGCCCUUGGCUCAACUGAGGAAGUGCAUCCGAAACUGGCAGGCUAGAGUACUAAAGAGGGUCGCGGAAUUCCCGGUGUAGAGGUGAAAUUCGUAGAUAUCGGAGGGAACACCGGUGGCGAAGGCGGCGACCUGGGUAGAUACUGACGCUGAGGUGCGAAAGCGUGGGGAGCAAACAGG